rnacentral:rRNA from 1 species
UACAGAGGGUGCGAGCGUUAAUCGGAAUUACUGGGCGUAAAGGGCGCGUAGGCGGUUGUUUAAGUUGGAUGUGAAAUCCCUGGGCUUAACCUAGGAAUGGCAUCUGAUACUGGGUAGCUAGAGUAUUGUAGAGGGUAGUGGAAUUUCCGGUGUAGCGGUGAAAUGCGUAGAUAUCGGAAGGAACACCAGUGGCGAAGGCGGCUACCUGGACAAAUACUGACGCUGAGGCGCGAGAGCGUGGGGAGCAAACAGG